rnacentral:rRNA from 1 species
UACACUCCUCCGGGAGGCAGCAGUGGGGAAUAUUGGACAAUGGGCGCAAGCCUGAUCCAGCCAUGCCGCGUGAGUGAUGAAGGCCCUAGGGUUGUAAAGCUCUUUCACCGGUGAAGAUAAUGACGGUAACCGGAGAAGAAGCCCCGGCUAACUUCGUGCCAGCAGCCGCGGUAAUACGAAGGGGGCUAGCGUUGUUCGGAUUUACUGGGCGUAAAGCGCACGUAGGCGGACUAUUAAGUCAGGGGUGAAAUCCCGGGGCUCAACCCCGGAACUGCCUUUGAUACUGGUAGUCUUGAGUUCGAGAGAGGUGAGUGGAAUUCCGAGUGUAGAGGUGAAAUUCGUAGAUAUUCGGAGGAACACCAGUGGCGAAGGCGGCUCACUGGCUCGAUACUGACGCUGAGGUGCGAAAGCGUGGGGAGCAAACAGGAUUAGAUACCCUUGUAGUCCCAUGA